rnacentral:rRNA from 1 species
UACGUAGGGUGCGAGCGUUGUCCGGAAUUAUUGGGCGUAAAGGGCUCGUAGGCGGUCUGUUGCGUCAGGAGUGAAAACUCGGGGCUUAACCCCGAGCCUGCUUCUGAUACGGGCAGACUAGAGGUAUGCAGGGGGAGAACGGAAUUCCUGGUGUAGCGGUGAAAUGCGCAGAUAUCAGGAGGAACACCGAUGGCGAAGGCAGCUUUCUGGGCCUUACCUGACACUGAGGAGCGAAAGCAUGGGUAGCGAACAGG